rnacentral:tRNA from 1 species
GGGCUCGUAGCUCAGUCUGGUAGAGCGAUAGGCUCUUAACCUAUUGGUCGGGGGUUCAAAUCCCCUCGAGCCCGCCA